rnacentral:rRNA from 1 species
UAGUAACGGCGAGUGAAGCGGAAGAGCUCAAGCUUGAAAUCUCCGGGCAAGUUUUGCUCGGCGAAUUGUAGUCUAUAGAGGCGAUGUCAGCGCGGCGGCUUUGGCCAAGUUCCUUGGAAGAGGACAGCAUGGAGGGUGAAACUCCCGUCUUUGCCAGAGCCACUUGCGCGUACGACACGUUUUCUUCGAGUCGCGUUGUUUGGGAAUGCAGCGCAAAGUAGGUGGUAAAUUCCAUCUAAAGCUAAAUAUAGGUGCGAGACCGAUAGCGAACAAGUACCGUGAGGGAAAGAUGAAAAGAACUUUGAAAAGAGAGUUAAAGAGUACCUGAAACUGCUGAAAGGGAAGCGAAUCGCGUCCAGUGUCCAUGAUCCGCGCGCAUAGUACUUUGUGGAAGUCUGCUUGCAGGCGACGACGAGGUGUCGUGCCGCGGUGGAGUCAAAGUCAGUUCGGACGUCGCGGCAAACGGUGCAGUGCGCAUAGGUAGGAAGACUGCUUGCAGUGUUCUGUUAUAUUCGCUGCACUUGGUCGCGGCCGGGACUGAGGUGUCGACAACAUGCUUGUAAGUGCUUUGCGCACGCUUUCGCGCGGUUCCGAGGAAAGCUGGUCUUUGCCCGGAGCUUUGCGCGGAGAAUGCCAAAAGUCCAACUUAUGCUGUUC